rnacentral:rRNA from 1 species
GACGAACGCUGGCGGCGUGCUUAACACAUGCAAGUCGAACGAAGAGCGACGGAAGCUUGCUUCUAUCAAUCUUAGUGGCGAACGGGUGAGUAACGCGUAAUCAACCUGCCUUCAGAGGGGGACAACAGUUGGAAACGACUGCUAAUACCGCAUACGAUCUAAUCUCGGCAUCGAGGAUAGAUGAAAGGUGGCCUCUACAUGUAAGCUAUCACUGAAGGAGGGGAUUGCGUCUGAUUAGCUAGUUGGAGGGGUAAUGGCCCACCAAGGCGAUGAUCAGUAGCCGGUCUGAGAGGAUGAACGGCCACAUUGGGACUGAGACACGGCCCAGACUUCCUACGGGAGGCAGCAGUGGGGAAUCUUCCGCAAUGGACGAAAGUCUGACGGAGCAACGCCGCGUGAGUGAUGACCGGCUUCGGGUUGUAAAGCUCUGUUAAUCGGGACGAAAGGCCUUCUUGCGAAUAGUUAGGAGGAUUGACGUACCGGAAUAGAA